ACCUACCUUAUAUUGGGGGAUAGCCCAGAGAAAUUUGGAUUAAUACCCCAUAGUAUGCUGAAGUGGCAUCCUUUAGUAUUAAAGAUUUAUCGAUAUAAGAUGGCUAUGCGUUCUAUUAGCUAGUUGGUAUGGUAACGGCAUACCAAGGCUACGAUAGAUAGGGGUCCUGAGAGGGAGAUCCCCCACACUGGUACUGAGACACGGACCAGACUCCUACGGGAGGCAGCAGUGAGGAAUAUUGGACAAUGGAGGCAACUCUGAUCCAGCCAUGCCGCGUGCAGGAAGACUGCCCUAUGGUUGUAAACUGCUUUUAUAGAGGAAGAAACCCCCCGACGAGUCGGGUCUGACGGUACUCUACGAAUAAGGAUCGGCUAACUCCGUGCCAGCAGCCGCGGUAAUACGGAGGAUCCAAGCGUUAUCCGGAAUCAUUGGGUUUAAAGGGUCCGUAGCGGAUUUGUAAGUCAGUGGUGAAAGUUUGCGGCUCAACCGUAAAAUUGCCAUUGAUACUGCAAGUCUUGAAUCAUUGUGAAGUGGUUAGAAUAUGUAGUGUAGCGGUGAAAUGCAUAGAUAUUACAUAGAAUACCGAUUGCGAAGCAGAUCACUAACAAUGUAUUGACGCUAAGGGACGAAAGCGUGGGUAGCGAACAGGAUUAGAUACCCUGGUAGUCCACACCGUAAACGAUGAAUGCCAGACGUCGGGGGGCUUGCCUUCGGUGUCACACCUAACGGAUUAAGCAUUCCGCCUGGGGAGUACGGUCGCGAGAUUAAAACUCAAAGGAAUUGACGGGGGCCC
rnacentral:rRNA from 1 species